AUUCCAAACCAAGAAACGGGGGUAUUAGGCUUGCUAUAAACUGUCAGGCUAAUUGGGCGCACGGGGUGAGUAAUGUAUAGAUAACGUGCUUCUUACCAAGGGAAUAACAGUUGGAAACGACUGCUAAUGCCCUAUAUGCCUUUAUAUCAAAAGAUAGCAAGGGAAAGUUUUUUCGGUAAGAGAUCGGUCUGUAUGGUAUCAGUUAGUUGGUGGGGUAAUGGCCUACCAAGACAAUGACGCCUAACUGGUUUGAGAGGAUGAUCAGUCACACUGGAACUGAGACACGGUCCAGACUCCUACGGGAGGCAGCAGUGGGGAAUAUUGCACAAUGGACGAAAGUCUGAUGCAGCAACGCCGCGUGGAGGAUGACACAUUUCGGUGCGUAAACUCCUUUUAUAUAUGAAGAAAAUGACGGUAAUAUAUGAAUAAGCGCCGGCUAACUCCGUGCCAGCAGCCGCGGUAAUACGGAGGGCGCAAGCGUUACUCGGAAUCACUGGGCGUAAAGAGCGUGUAGGCG
rnacentral:rRNA from 1 species